ACACGAAAAGAUAGAAACAAAAGUCAGAUGAAAAAGCCAGAGAGAGAGAUAGCCUGGAAGAGUUUCUUUUUUCUUUCUUUUUCUUUCCUUGUCCUUACCUCUGGU
rnacentral:ribozyme from 1 species